AAUGAACGCUGGCGGCGCGCCUAAUACAUGCAAGUCGAGCGAGAAGACGUAGCAAUACGUUUGUAAAGCGGCGAACGGGUGAGGAAUACAUGGGUAACCUACCCUCGAGUGGGGAAUAACUAGCCGAAAGGUUAGCUAAUACCGCGUACGCUCCUUGGACUUCGGUUCAGGGAGGAAAGCGAUACCGUGGGUAUCGCGCUCUUGGUUGGGCUCAUGUCCUAUCAGCUUGUUGGGAGGUAACGGCUCACCAAGGCUUCGACGGGUAGCUGGUCUGAGAGGACGAUCAGCCACACUGGCACUGCGACACGGGCCAGACUCCUACGGGAGGCAGCAGUAAGGAAUAUUGCGCAAUGGGCGAAAGCCUGACGCAGCGACGCCGCGUGGGGGAUGAAAGUCUUCGGAUUGUAAACCCCUUUCGGGAGGGAAGAUGGAACGAGCAAUCGUUCGGACGGUACCUCCAGAA
rnacentral:rRNA from 1 species